AGUGAACGCUGGCGGUAGGCCUAACACAUGCAAGUAGAACGGCAGCACAGUAAGAGCUUGCUCUUACGGGUGGCGAGUGGCGGACGGGUGAGGAAUACAUCGGAAUCUACUUUUUCGCGGGGGAUAACGUAGGGAAACUUACGCUAAUACCGCAUACGACCUACGGGUGAAAGCAGGGGAUCUUCGGACCUUGCGCGAUUGAAUGAGCCGAUGUCGGAUUAGCUAGUUGGCGGGGUAAAGGCCCACCAAGGCGACGAUCCGUAGCUGGUCUGAGAGGAUGAUCAGCCACACUGGAACUGAGACACGGUCCAGACUCCUACGGGAGGCAGCAGUGGGGAAUAUUGGACAAUGGGCGCAAGCCUGAUCCAGCCAUACCGCGUGGGUGAAGAAGGCCUUCGGGUUGUAAAGCCCUUUUGUUGGGAAAGAAAAGCAGCAGGUUAAUACCCCGCUGUUCUGACGGUACCCGAAGAAUAAGCACCGGCUAACUUCGUG
rnacentral:rRNA from 1 species